UAAUUUCGGAUGCAAUGAAUCUUUAUGAUUAACCGAAGUCUACUUUUGCACGCUAACAGUAUAUUUCUAGUUUCUUGUCUACUAAUUGCGACUAAUUGCAGUUCUUUUGGUUCACAACAACUUAUCAUCUUUCACUUGCAGGCUUGAAAGUAAAAGUUGAUACUUUCAUACUGAGGGCUUAUAAUUGAAUUUGGAGUGAAUUUGAUGGCUGAAUUGGGUGCUCCCAGGGUGUAUAGCUGCUUUAAUUGUAGAAAUCAAGUUUGUCUUCAUGAUGAUAUUAUCUCCAAAGCUUUCCAGGGAAGAAAUGGCCGUGCUUUUUUGUUUUCCCAUGCUAUGAAUGUUGAGGUUGGACCUAAAGAAGAUAGGCAGCUCAUGACUGGCCUUCAUACUGUUGCUGAUAUCAAUUGUGCGGAUUGUCAACAAGUAUUGGGGUGGCAAUACUUGCGUGCUUACGAAUCGUCGCAGAAAUAUAAGGAAGGGAAGUUUAUCUUCGAGAAGUCCAAAAUCAUCAAGGAAGAUUGGUAGCUUCUAUAACAAGGUCUUCCUUGUUUCAUUCAUCCCCUCAUUGCUCUUUUUUUCACUUGUAGGAACUAAAACCGCUAACAACAUAAAUUAAACUUAUCUGGAAAACCGUGGCGUGAAGAAUUCACUGCCCUAAAGUUGAAUUUGCCCCGCUACAACACACGGCCUCUUAGCAAUCAACCUCCAGGGGUACACGGUCUCUGCGUUUCCAGUGUAGAUGGAAAAACAGAUUGAAAACGAUCUUGAAUAUUGCCCAGAAAGAUAUUUUCGAGAGAGGAAGAAGAAGGUGUUUAUGAUUUUCUGUUCGUUAAAGAGUAGUCUCCUUGGGCCUGUAAACUGGUUCUUAAUAUGAAUUUUAAGAAUGAAAGUCGAAUGGGAAAAUCGACCCAUGUAAUUUUUUUUUUCGAAGUAAGUACAUGCACCCAAGUGCAUGUAGAGCAUGGUGCACCCUUAUCCAAACUACGUUGUUUUAUCCUUUUUGGAGUCUAUAAUUUUAAAAAAUUAUUGUUAUUUGUUUCCUUAAA